CAUUCGCGUGUUUUCAUCGUCGGUGAAAGCAAAGAUGGGAGGAUCGGGACGGUUGCGCGAUAGUAAUGAUGCCAUGUGUCCGUGCUUCGUGUAAACAAAGAUGGCAUCCACACCAAGAUUGUUGGCUGCAUAAAACGGGUUGCGAGAAAUAGUGUGAAGACGUACCCAUUUCGACCGCACAAUUGCAUAUUUGCUCGGUGAUGCAAUCCGGCAAUGAUGCUCCGAGUUUAUGGUGAUUGAGAAGGCUUUGUCUAUUUUCUUCUCUACUCCAUGAUUCCAUUCUACUGCUAGUCAUAUCCAACACUGCCAAAGCUUUCUGUCCAAAUGAACCGAUAGCCGACUCACCGGAUAACAUCAAAGCAUCAGCGUACUGGCGAACCGCUUCGGAAAUAUCCGCUACCUUAUAUUGAGUAAAGGCAGAGAUUAUUGUAACAGGUAAGUACAGAGUUUGGCGUUUCAAAUGAAAAGUUAUUUUCAUAUAUAUAUAAAUUGAUUUUACCUCGGCACGAGUUGGUGUUGGAUACUCAACCAUUGACUCGAGAAGCUGAGAAGCUACAAUCACUGGCUUAUUUUGUUGUCUGCAAAUACGAAUUAUAUCCUCCUGGACUGUAGGAAUCUGUUCAAGUGGUAUCUCGACUCCGAGGUCACCACGAGCUACCAUGAUUCCAUCGGAAGCUUUUACUAUUUCCUCUAGAUUAUGAAGAGAUUCUAAGCUUUCUAUCUUUGCCAAUACUUUUAUGGGCCUGAAACAAUCAUUUACCAUUAUUGAUCUGUGCUAAGAUAACUUUGAACUAAAGCACUUAUACAGAAGAAAACACUUUUCAAUGGAACAACAAACUAUUUGAUAUUGAUAAACUGUAUAAACGAUUUUUCGGCGAAUCUAUGAUUUCUUACUUGGCUGAUUUGUCAGAGAGGUAGUUCUUUAGAUCCUUAACAGAAUCCGCAUGAUUGACAAAGGAUAAGGCAAAAAAAUCAACCCCCUCAGCUAUACCAAAGUUAAUGUCAGCCCAAUCCUGUGGAUAAGUUUAUAAGAUAAAACAUAUCAGGGAAAGAUUUUUGAAACUCAUAGCCACUAUUCAAAGAAUUAUACCAAAAUAUAUAAGUGCGAGAAAAAAGACGCUUCGCGGCAAAAUAUACCUUUGUUGAUAGAGUAGGGAGCUUGUAAUUCCUCCUUACAAGCUUUCCAUCUCUCCAAGAACUAAAUUUGGCUCCUGGUAAGAAAAGACCAGCAUCUAUGCACUUACAAUGCAAAUCAUUUCCAGUUUUUUCAAUGACUACAAAGCAUGACAUUCCGCCGUCAAUAACAAGUUCAUCGCCUACUUCAAUACCUGACAACCAUUAGCAAAUUCAAAAUUCGCUCAAUCGCAUAAUAACAUGUAGUAUGCUCAUUGGAAAAUACAAGGAACGGGUCGAUUCUUCAAUCAUUCGGCAAAAUAUUACUACCUUCAGAAAAACCUGGAUAGCUUGCUUGAACUGUUAAUGGACGAGUACCUUCAAACCGUUCAGCAGUGAACAACCAAAUUGAAUCUUCCUGAGAUUGAAACAAGAAACACAUAGUUCCAAAUUCAAAUACAAACAAUCUCUAUGAUGCAUUGGCACAGACACAGACGUCAGUCACAAGUGACACGUCCACAUAGUAAUAAUUUUAAAAAGAUAGAAGAGAAUAUAACCACAAGUGUCGUGUUGGACACAACACCGACACGACACUAGGCACGAUGCGACAUGGAACUAGCCUAUCAUAGCAAUUGGUAAAAAAACAGAUGAAAGCAUGGUUUUAAAUUGCAGUCCACAACCACAACGGCAAUAUUGCUGAUGCGGUAGUCUCCAGAACCGCAUCGAAAUUGCAGUGUGAUUUAAAAUCUCACGUUGGACCAGGAACCACAUUAGACAAAUUUGUCCAUGUUUCUUAAGUAUUUUCAUCAAAACUCAAAUUUUUUUCCAAACACCACUCAAUCAAAAUUCACGCUACAGCGGUCGCAAUGCGCAUCACUUCAACUGCAAUGACCGCAAUCACAACAUCUGCAACCACAAUUUAAAACCAUGGAUGGAAGAAUAAAUGAGGUUACCUCAACUUUAACUGAGGAAGGUGCUCCAUGAUCAACAACAUGAAUCUGACUACCCUCAGUAUCAAUCAUAACCGAAACCGCAAACCCCUUUUCCUCAUUCAGCUUCUUAAUCUUCCUAAUCACAUCCCGGUGCCAUUCUCUAGUCCCAUGACACAUAUUAAGCCUCGCAACAUUCAUUCCACCCAAUGCCAUCUUCUCUAAAUCCUCCAACGAACUACAAGCAGGGCCAACCGUACACACAAGCUUUGUCUUCCUCAACCCUUUAAAACCCUUCACCAUUAACUCUCCUUCUGAAACCAUAUCCAACCCCAAACUUCCCUCCAAUGCAACACUACUUGUUCUUUUCAAACCCUCUACAUCCACUUCCGCUAUUGCUCUAACCUUAACACUAUGUUUUCUCUUCCAUUUCUCACCUCCCUUGAAACAAAAUCCAAGAUUUGAAACCCUGUUACUCAAAUCAACUGAAUGGUGACUAGAUUGUCUCACGAGGGUUAUAUUUCCAGGUGAAGCAGCCAUUGACUUCAAAACCAUGGCCAUGAGAUUUUUGAUGGAACAAUGAAGUUGUGCCGAAUGUUGAGAUCCAAGUUGUGAACUUUAUCGCAAUAUAGGUGUUGGGUUUUGAAGGGUUUUGUUGUAAACUCCGUCAGAGUUUGGACUUUGGUCGUGAACAAAAUCAGAAACGUUGUAAAAAAAAAAGGUUGUCUCUUUUGUGUCAAAAAAUGUAAAUUUUUGUCGUUAUUUCUUUUGUCCUUGAGUAACAGAACGUGGCAAUCUUUCGUGCGUUAAAUCAAUCUAAUGGUUAAAAUGGCUUGAAUGCACUACAAUGAGUGUGGCAUGGCAUUUGAAUGAAAGCAUUGAAUCUGAAAAUUACAAUGCACUGAUGGAGAACGAACAUGAAUAGCAAAAACCCACCUUUUUUUUUUUGAUGACAUACUUCUUUGUCUUCACUGCUCCAAAGAAGAAGAUAGAGAGAAGGUUUGCAAGUUUGAAAGAAGAUGAUUUAAUUUGGAAAUUUUUAUAACUUUCUCCCAAUUAUAUUUUAGGUUAAAUGUAUUUUUGUUCCUUUUAUUUUUAAAUUUUUGAAGUUUUAAUCCUUUUAUUCUUAAAUGUAUUUUUCUGAUUCCCUCAAUCUAACUGUUUCAUUAAUGAUGUGACAAGUAAAUAGAGCAGCCACGUCCGAGGUGUUUAAUUUUUAUUUUUAUGAUUUAAUUUUAAAUAUUAAAAAUUAUUUUCUAUUUUUAUAAAACUUUUGUAAUAAUGUGUAAUUAAGUUAAAUAGGCAACUAGAAUGGUUAUAACCUUAAUCCUCAUUCGUUUCAAUCACACAAUUGUAAGCUUCUUCUUUCAAACGAAGAAUAUCGCAAUUAGGCACGAAGACGAUUCGCUGUGAGAAACGGAGAACCAGAUUGUUCAGCUGAAGGGCUUAGAACAAAAUUGAAGAUGAGUAAUGGACAAGUGAAGUUUUGCAUAAGGUAUAUUUUUUUGUCUCCUUUGGAAUGUUUUGCUUAAUGCGACAGUUCACACGUGUUAUAUAUUGCACUGUGUUUCUUUGUAUGUAUGGUCCAUCAUGUUUAUUUGUGUUGUUUGUGGUCCACCGUAUUUAUUUGUGUCUGUUUGUAGUUUAACUUAUUAAAUUUGUAUUUAAAUAUUGUUAAUUCCUAGUUGUUUAUUGAGAAUAACAAAAAACAAGCACAAGGAUGGACUCCAACAUGGCAUGGUGAUGAUCUCUCAAUAUUUGGAGUGACCAAUAGGAUUGAUACAUAUUGUGUCAAUCUUAAAAAUGAAACAUGUAACUGCAGAAAGUGGAAUUUGACAAGAAUCUCAUAUUGUCAUGUAAUCUCUUGCAUUUGGAACGUUAAAAAAAAGGCUGAAAAUUAUGUGUCUCAAUUUUAUAGCAAGGCAACAUUCGAGAAGAUAUACGUUAAUAUUGUGUUUCCCACAAAUGGAUCACAACUAUGGCCUAUUAUUGAUCAUGUGCUAAUUUAAAGAGAAAUUGGACGUUCAAAGAAGAUGAGAAACAAGGCAGCUGAUGAUCCAAAGAACUCACAUGUACUAUGAAAGAAAUUUGCAACAGUAACUUGUAAGAAAUGUGGUCAAAUUGGACACAACAAGAGAACUUGUAAGGGUAAGAGAGCAGCUAAUAGGGAAAUAUCAAAGGGAGACAACAAGGCUAAGAAAGCAAAGACUACAAAGUCUACAAAUAAGGAAAAGGAAACUCAAGCUGAAAUUGGACAGGGGUCUCUAGCACCUCAAGUUACCCAAGAUUGAAUGCAAUUAGGAAUCACUAUGUCUUUUUUUUAAUGUAACAUAUUCUAUUAGGAACCACUAUGUUUUGAUUGUAAUAUGGUUAAGUUAUGAAGUAUUAUAUUUUGGUCUGUUAUGAACAAGUUAUGUUAUUUACUUUGGUUUGUUAUAAACAAGUUAUG